GAUGAACGCUGGCGGUCUGCUUAACACAUGCAAGUCGAACGGGUUCUUCGGAACUAGUGGCGGACGGGUGAGUAACGCGUGAGAAUCUGCCUUCAGGUUCGGGACAACAGUUGGAAACGACUGCUAAUACCGGAUGUGCCUAUUGGUGAAAGAUUUAUUGCCUGAAGAUGAGCUCGCGUUAGAUUAGCUAGUAGGUAGUGUAAUGGACUACCUAGGCGACGAUCUAUAGCUGGUCUGAGAGGAUGAGCAGCCACACUGGGACUGAGACACGGCCCAGACUCCUACGGGAGGCAGCAGUGGGGAAUUUUCCGCAAUGGGCGAAAGCCUGACGGAGCAAGACCGCGUGAGGGAGGAAGGCCUAUUGGUUGUAAACCUCUUUUCUCAAGGAAGAUAAUGACGGUACUUGAGGAAUCAGCAUCGGCUAACUCCGUGCCAGCCGCCGCAGUAA
rnacentral:rRNA from 1 species